rnacentral:rRNA from 1 species
GACGAACGCUGGCGGCGUGCUGAACACAUGCAAGUCGAACGGAAAGGCCCUGCUUUUGUGGGGUGCUCGAGUGGCGAACGGGUGAGUGACACGUGAGUAACCUGCCCUUGACUUUGGGAUAACUUCAGGAAACUGGGGCUAAUACCGGAUAGGAGCUCCUGCUGCAUGGUGGGGGUUGGAAAGUUUCGGCGGUUGGGGAUGGACUCGCGGCUUAUCAGCUUGUUGGUGGGGUAGUGGCUUACCAAGGCUUUGACGGGUAGCCGGCCUGAGAGGGUGACCGGCCACAUUGGGACUGAGAUACGGCCCAGACUCCUACGGGAGGCAGCAGUGGGGAAUAUUGCACAAUGGGCGGAAGCCUGAUGCAGCAACGCCGCGUGCGGGAUGACGGCCUUCGGGUUGUAAACCGCUUUCGCCUGUGACGAAGCGUGAGUGACGGUAAUGGGUAAAGAAGCACCGGCUAACUACGUG